rnacentral:rRNA from 1 species
UACGAAGGGGGCUAGCGUUGCUCGGAAUUACUGGGCGUAAAGCGCACGUAGGCGGCUUCUUAAGUCGGAGGUGAAAUCCUGGAGCUCAACUCCAGAACUGCCUUCGAUACUGGGAAGCUUGAGUUCGGGAGAGGUGAGUGGAGCUGCGAGUGUAGAGGUGAAAUUCGUAGAUAUUCGCAAGAACACCAGUGGCGAAGGCGACCACCUGGACUGAUACUGACACUGAGGUGCGAAAGCGUGGGGAGCAAACAGG